CCCUUAGAUGUCCUGGGCUGCACGCGCGCUACACUGAUGUGUCCAGUAAGCACCUAACCUCUUCCGAAAGGAACGGGUAACCUUUGCAAAGCACAUCGUGAUGGGGAUAGAUUAUUGCAAUUAUUAGUCUUGAACGAGGAAUUCCUAGUAAGCACAAGUCAUCAGCUUGUGUUGAUUACGUCCCUGCCCUUUGUACACACCGCCCGUCGCACCAAUCGAUUGAGGUAUCUGGUGAAAAUGCAGGAAACCUCUGUGGCAUGCUUCAUUGCAAGCCGUAGAAGAUGAAUGCAUUUAAACCAGGCGCCUUAGAGAAUGGUGAAGUCGUAACA
rnacentral:rRNA from 1 species